GACGAACGCUGGCGGCAUGCCUAAUACAUGCAAGUCGAGCGAACAGAUGAAGUGCUUGCACCUCUGACGUUAGCGGCGAACGGGUGAGUAACACGUAAGGAAUCUACCUAUAAGCGGAGGAUAACAUUCGGAAACGGGUGCUAAUACCGCAUAAUAUCUUCUUCCGCAUGGAAGAAGAUUGAAGUACGGCUCUGCUGUCACUUAUAGAUGAACUUGCGGUGAAUUAGUUAGUUGGUGGGGUAAAGGCCUACCAAGACGAUGAGGCAUAGCUGACCUGAGAGGGUGAUCGGCAACAUUGGGACUGAGACACGGCCCAAACUCCUACGGGAGGCAGAAGUAGGGAAACUUCCGCAAUGGGCGAAAGCCUGACGGAGCAAUGCCGCGUGAGUGAAGAAGGCCUUCGGGUCGUAAAACUCUGUUAUAAGAGAAGAACAAAUUGUAGAGUAACUGCUACAGUCUUGACGGUAUCUUAUCAGAAAGCCACGGCUAACUACGUGCCAGCAGCCGCGGUAA
rnacentral:rRNA from 1 species